AUUGAACGCUGGCGGCAGGCCUAACACAUGCAAGUCGAGCUGUUGACGGGAGCUUGCUCCCUGAUUCAGCGGCGGACGGGUGAGUAAUGCCUAGGAAUCUGCCUAUUAGUGGGGGACAACGUUUCGAAAGGAACGCUAAUACCGCAUACGUCCUACGGGAGAAAGCAGGGGACCUUCGGGCCUUGCGCUAAUAGAUGAGCCUAGGUCGGAUUAGCUCGUUGGUGAGGUAAUGGCCCACCAAGGCGACGAUCCGUAACUGGUCUGAGAGGAUGAUCAGUCACACUGGAACUGAGACACUGUCCAGACUCCUACGGGAGGAAGCAGUGGGGAAUAUUGGACAAUGGGCGAAAGCCUGAUCCAGCCAUGCCGCGUGUGUGAAGAAGGUCUUCGGAUUGUAAAGCACUUUGAGUUGGGAGGAAGGGUUGUAGAUUAAUACUCUGCAAUCUUGACGUUACCGACAGAAUAAGCACCGGCUAACUCUGUGCCAGCCGCCGCAGUAAAAC
rnacentral:rRNA from 1 species